UACGAAGGGUGCAAGCGUUACUCGGAAUUACUGGGCGUAAAGCGUGCGUAGGUGGUGAGUUAAGUCUGUCGUGAAAGCCCCGGGCUCAACCUGGGAAUGGCGAUGGAUACUGGCUCGCUAGAGUGCGGUAGAGGAGAGUGGAAUUCCCGGUGUAGCAGUGAAAUGCGUAGAGAUCGGGAGGAACACCAGCGGCGAAGGCGGCGCUCUGGGCCGGUACUGACGCUGAGGAGCGAAAGCGUGGGUAGCAAACAGG
rnacentral:rRNA from 1 species